GGCAUUGAUUGUUUCUUGCCGCUAACCAUGGAGGCACUUUUCUGCUGCUUAUUGUAACUAUUUUUUGAAUGUUGGAGCUGGAAGAAUAGAAACAUCAGAUUUUUGCCAUAUGGAAUAUUCGAAUUCACCUUAAGUGCUCAUGUCUCAAGCAACGGCAGAACAUCCAUCAGAAAAGCUGACAACGAGAACCCAAAUCAUGCCUGUCUUCUGUUGCUGACACUUUGCCUGGAACUUCCAUUGCCCAAGGUCCUUCACCUGGACCUUCUAGUGCCCAAGAAACACUGCCAGGCAAAGGAAGAUGGAGAACCAACUUGAAGUGAUGACCUAUCCUGGGCUCAACAUUCACUCAUUUCA